UGGAGCAUGUGGUUUAAUUCGAUGAUACGCGAAGAACCUUUACCGGGGUUUGACAUGCAGGUGAUCGCCGUUGAAAGACGGUUUUCCUCUUCGGAGGCACCUGCACAGGUGCUGCAUGGCUGUCGUCAGCUCGUGUCGUGAGAUGUUGGGUUAAGUCCCGCAACGAGCGCAACCCUUAUCCCUAGUUGCCAUCAGGUAAAGCUGGGAACUCUGGGGAGACUGCCGGUGAUAAACCGGAGGAAGGCGGGGAUGACGUCAAGUCCUCAUGGCCCUUACAUCCCGGGCUACACACGUGCUACAAUGGCAGGUACAGAGGGCUGCGAAGCCGCGAGGUGGAGCGAAUCCCAGAAAACCUGUCUCAGUCCGGAUUGAAGUCUGCAACUCGACUUCAUGAGGGCGGAAUCGCUAGUAAUCGUAGAUCAGCAUGCUACGGUGAAUACGUUCCCGGGCCUU
rnacentral:rRNA from 1 species